rnacentral:lncRNA from 1 species
GAUUCAUAUCAACAUGACGGGUGCCACAUGUGGAGCAGGAUCUGCUUACCAUUCCAAAGAACCUGAGUUUGCCAUAGUUCUUGGUGUGGUUCAUGUUGCUUAGUUGUUGUGUUUUCUGUUCUAUUGUUGUUGUUUUUAUAAGCCAUGGCGUCAGUUUGUUUUAGAUUUAUGAGUUUGAAUGUCCCUCUGGUAUCUUUAGCCCCUCUUUUAUAGAAUGAUAUUAUUUUUCUUAUUCCAAGAUUCAUCGUAGCUCUGAUUUUCCUUUGAUCUCAUUCAGCUAUAUGUUCCCAAGCUUUUGUCUGUAAUAUAAGUUGGCUUCCAUUUAUUACAGAGACUGUGAAUCAGGGAGAGAUGUGAAAUAUACCAAAGGAAUAAUCAAACUUGCAAGUCGUAGACAAACUGACAAUGCAAUCGCAAAAAAAAAAAAAAAAAAUAUCAAAAGACAAACAUGAUAUUAAAUACAAUAUUGAAAACCAAAGUCUGAGAAACUGGAACACAACUUUAAACUGCAAGCGAUCUCGUGAACUCUUGUAGAAAAAGCUGAUCUUGCUACACGGGACUUUCCUCAUAUGUCUGCAAUUAUGCCGUCAAUAAGUUCUUAUGGUUCCUCUAAAUACCUUACACGGGAUACCAGGAAAAGCCACAUAUACUGCACAGUGCUACAAAUCAAACCACCACUAAAACCCGGCUCCUACUGUAAAACGGACAAACAACCAAUAACUUGAAAAAGAAAGUAAAAAAAAACCAAAAAAAAAAAAAACGGCACAUAAUUCCAAAAUGUGCUUGCUACUACAGGAAACCAGUUAAGGUUGCCAAUGCUGUUGGUUGAAUAUUACCAAUCAAGAUUGAAGAAUCCAAACUAAACGGUUCCGUGAAGUCUCUUAAAAUUAUUGAAACUAGUAUCAAACUAUCGCAAAC